AUGGCAAAGCAGCUCAGGGACCUGAAGGCUGACCCACGGCUGCAGGUAGCAGGGGCCCAGUGGGUGGCAGCCUCCAUCCACAGCCCAUCCGUCUACCCCUUGGGCUCCUGUUGCACAAGUGCUACCAAUGCCACUUCUGUGACGCUGGGCUGCCUGGUCACGGGCUACUUCCCGGGGCCAGUGACCAUGACCUGGGACACAGCGUCCCUGAACAGGAGCACCCUGACCUUCCCUGCCGUCCAAAACUUGAACUCCAGCCUCUACACCGCCAGCAGCCAGGUGACAGUCUCGGGCGAGUGGUCCAAGCAGAAGUUCACCUGCAGUGUGGCUCACGCUGCGUCCAACACCACCACCACCAAGGCCGUCACUGGGUGCACCAAGAGCUUCCCCGACCCCUCUGUGAAGCUCUUUUACUCCUCGUGCGACCCCCGUGGUGACACCCAUACCGCCAUCCAGCUCCUGUGCCUCAUCUCCGGCUAUACCCCAGGCAAAGUCAAGGUCACCUGGCUGGUGGACGGGCGUGAGGCCACAGACGUGUUCCCACACACCGGCCCCGAAAGGGUGGAGGGCAAACUGGCCUCCACUUACAGCGAGCUCAACAUCACGCAGGGCCAGUGGGUGUCCCAAAUCACCUACACCUGCCGGGUCACCUAUUAUGGCUUCACCUACGACAACCACGCCCGCAGGUGCACAGCCGAGUCUGAGCCCCGUGGCGUGAGCGCCUACCUGAGCCCACCCACACCCCUCGACCUGUACGUCAACAAGUCACCCAAGAUCACCUGCCUGGUGGUGGACCUGGCCAGCGACAAGGACAUGACACUGACCUGGUCCACGGAGAACAAGGAUCUAGUCUAUCCAGACCCACCCAUCGCCAAGACUCAGUUCAACGGGACGGUCACCGUCACGUCCACCCUGCCGGUGGACGUCAGUGACUGGAUUGAGGGCGAGACCUACUACUGCAAAGUGGCCCACCCACACCUGCCCAAGGAGAUCCUGCGCUCCAUCUCCAAGGGCCCUGGCAAGCGUAUGAUUCCCGAGGUCUACGUGUUCCCGCCACCCAAGGAGGAGCUCAAGACCAAGGGCGAGGUCACCCUCACCUGCCUGAUCCAGAACUUCUUCCCCGCGGAUAUCUCCGUGCGGUGGCUGCGGAACGGCACCCCGAUGCAGGCGGACCAGCACACCAGCACGGGGCCCCACAGGGUCCGCGGCUCCAGCCCCGCCUUCUUCGUCUACAGCCACCUGGCGGUCAAGCAGGCCGACUGGCAGCAGAGGAGCACGUUCACCUGCCAGGUGGUCCACGAGGCCCUGUCCGGCUCAAGGACCCUCGAGAGAUCGAUGUCCAUCGACCUUGAGCUGGCCCUGGAAGACCUGUGCGCAGAGGCGGCCGAGAGCGAGGAGCUGCAGGGGACACGGACCAGCCUCCUCACCUUCGUGGCGCUCUUCCUGCUCAGCGUGAGCUACAGCGCUACCGUCACCCUCUGCAAGGCGAAGUGGGUCCUGGCCGCCGUCCGGCAGGAGCAGCCGCAGGCUUCCCGCGACUACACGGACAUUGCACAGCCCUGCCUUUCGCCUCCUUGUGUGAGCAGCCCCGAGGCGGCCAGCUCUACCCUGGGCCGGAGGAAGGAGCAGAACAGCCCCCAAGGGGCCAGAAGAGGCCUGGGCUGGGCGUGGCUGCUGACCACCCCAGGCUUCUCCCAGGCCCCUGGGCUUGGGCCCACACCGGCUCUGACUGAACAACCCCUGAAACACAGUGACGGCCUGGAGCCCAUGGCCCAGCCCACGCUGGAGCCCAGAGCCAAAUCUAGGACUCAGAGUCCCAACCAGCCCAAUCCAGCGUCUGAGUCCAGCCCAGCCAAGCCAAGGGCUCACUCCCCAGGCUCAGUCCCGCCCUCCGUGCCCCCAGGUCCAAGGGCACUGCCCCCCAUGCCCUGCUCCUGUCCCGUGCCCACCCUCCCUGCUGUCCACCCCCAGGCCCCCUUCGUGCAGAAUGAGGCUGCAGAGCAGACCUUCCGGGGAGGGGCCAGGGCAGUUUUCAGGGCUGCGGGCAGGGCCCUAGGAUGUGAGGCAGGGUCCCACAGCAAAAGGCGCUUCCCAAGGGGUCCGCAGUGUGGCCAAAUCAGCCCUGCAGCACGCAGCCCGUCCCCCGUGCCCUCGUCCCGACGCAGGAGAUAG